GAAGAGAGCAGUGAGGCAGCUCUUGAGUUGCUUCACCAUCUGUUUCUCAGCUCUUUGUUCAAAAUCCCUGAUCAGAAGCUCAUAAACCAUGUUGUCUUCUGGACACAGAAUGAGCAAGACUUUGCUAUGGUGCAAUUCCAAGCUAUAUAGACAGAAAUGAAGAAAAGAAGGAGCAACUAAGAUAGGCUCAUUCAGAUUCCAUCUGUGCCUAAGACCAAAUACUUUGACCUGACUUACCCUGUAUCACAAGGCUGUUGGCUGCUGUGUGGUAUGGAGAAAUACAGCUCUGGUGGAUGCUCUCCACAGAAAACAGCUAUUCACUCAAAGCAUGCACUGGGCACAGAUUUAAGCAACAAAGAUUUUAUGAAGAAGCUGGACAAACCCAACAGAACAGGAGUCUCCCAGGGUACUCCAAGACUGAAGCCUACAUAUUACAAAGUUCCUGGAUUAUUGCUGAAGCUUUUGUCACAACAUGUUUUUUUUAUCAGUUGGUAUUAAUUUUGUUGUUAGUACAUGACCUCAUUUUUCACUAUUGAAUUUCAUUCGUUACUUUUAGUCCAGCUCUCAAGGUCAUCCAGUUCUUCCCACGUGAUAUCAUUAUGAUGUUACUGAUAGCAUAUUUCCAUACAUUCUGUAUGACAUGUCUAAAUAUUUUGAUGGUUUUAAUAUUUUGUACCAGCUGUG